UGCAACAACACCGACAUCGAUGGUGAAGCAUGAGCAUCUAGCCCGAGGGACCGCAUGAGGCAUCAUCACUUGGCUUACCUUGCGUGCCGCGGUGCAUCCCAUCCACCAGUUUAAAAACCAAGAUAUUGGUUUGGCUAUACACUCUCUAAGGUGUAUUGGCAUGGGACUUCUGAUGAAACAGGGCACGAGCCCUUGUGUCGCGAGCAGGUUAGGCGCUUCCGGGGCCGGGGAAGGGAUGUUAUUUUUGGGAGAGUAAUCACACGCCUCGAAGCUGAAAAUAACACACCUGCCGCAGUCAUUUAAUUAAUUAUUCCCCGACCUCACACGGACACCACACAUCCAUAAAUACAUCUAUGUACCAUAAAUCAUAUCCUUGGUAUGGCUUCGAUGCUGACCGCUGGAGGGGUGUCAGAUUUUCUGUCGCGAUGUUCUUCGACUGAUUCUAGGUACAAGCAAAUAUUCAUUCCCCUGGAAACGCGCUGGGGUCCUUUACUGUCGACCAUGAUUCACCAGAUACCCAGCUCUCCUUGAUUUCUGUCAGCUUCCAUAUAUAUCUUUGUUUCCUCCUCUCUGUUUCUUCCGUGAAUAGCUCACACAUCGGCUCCAUCAUAUCAAUUCCUUUUGCAUGUUUCAAGUGCAUACCACACGUACCACCAGUUUCCUAUCGCUGUCAUGGCGACCCGCCAUCAUGGGAUCCUGCAAUCCAUUCUUAUUUGGAUGCUCUUGUUCCUCCAAGCUAUAGCUUCAUUUAUAUCUCCUAUCGCCAGGGAGCCACUGCCAAUUGCGCGCAAACACGACAUCCGGGAUGCUGCACCGGGAAAACAGAUGAUUAUUCCCCCUCUUGUAGCAAAAGCUGCCCAAUCCGACAUCGAUGAAGCCAGGCGCCUUGUGGAUGCUGCAAUUAAGAAAGCUUCGGUCCUUAACAAAGCUCGACUGGACCACCCUAUGAGAAAUCGCUAUUCCUCAACGCGUGCUGCCAAAGCUUCUCGUCGCGAUGCAUCCAGCAGAGAUGCCCUGCUACCACCUCUACUCAAGAUUACCAAUGAGAUAGCUGCAGCUGCAGCUCUCCUGGCUGAGGUAGAGGCCGUUGCUGAAGCCAAAGAUCUUUCCAAACCUAAACGCGAUUACUCGUACAUCGAUGCGCUGUAUAACCGUACGGCAGAAAAGCAAGCACAACCCUUCUGGAUGGAAGAUAUUGAAAGAAAAGGGGCCUGGCCGUUUGGGAAUGACCCUUCCUUCAAGGUUUUCCGUAAUGUGAAAGAUUACGGGGCAGUUGGAGAUGGUGUACAUGAUGAUACGGAGGCCAUCAAGCGAGCAAUUGCAGACACGGGAACAUGUGGUGAAAGAUGUAAUGGCGCUACGGCUAAGAAUUUUAUCGUUUAUUUUCCAUCCG
rnacentral:sRNA from 2 species